UGGCUAUCUCCACCAGAACCAUUCUCCUUCUUUGCUUGGCCUUUGCGCAGUGACAUGCAAAACAAGCAGCAGUCACGACAGACGCGGCGGUGCAACACAGGAUAUAACACGCAGCCACUUUGUGCCGCAGCAAACGCGCAGAACUGGGGAGAAAUAUAAGCCGUAGGCAGACGUCCUGCUGUAUGAUUCGAGAUGGCUGCCUCUGCCAGAAAUAUUGUGCUUCUCUGCUUGGUCUUCACGGUGGUGGCCGCGAUGCCACACGAUUCUGUAGAGGUGCCGCGACCAGUGCUGCCUAGCGGAGACGUCAGCUACCAGGAGAGGAUACAGACUGCAGUGGGCGCCAAACCUCCCACGGAGGAUUUGGAAGACCGCAGGAUACGCUUCCACCCCAUUAUCUUCUGAGCGAGCUACCGGCAAAUGCAAGAACAGAUGUUUCUUUUUCAUUUAAAGUUUUCUGUCUCAAGUAUCAAAAACUUAUCGAUACUGCUUGUGACCCUAUGUGGAGAGCUAUUAGUCCCCAUCUUCCAAACGAAUAUAAAUUACAAACGGAUAAAUGAAUUUUAACAUUCAA